rnacentral:rRNA from 1 species
AUUGAACGCUGGCGGCAGGCCUAACACAUGCAAGUCGAACGAGUGGCGGACGGGUGAGUAAUGUCUGGGAAACUGCCUGAGGGAGGGGGAUAACUACUGGAAACGGUAGCUAAUACCGCAUACCAUCGGAUGUGCCCAGAUGGGAUGAGCUAGUAGGGGGGGUAACGGCUCACCUAGGCGACGAUCCCUAGCUGGUCUGAGAGGAUGACCAGCCACACUGGGACUGAGACACGGUCCAGACUCCUACGGGAGGCAGCAGUGGGGAAUAUUGCACAAUGGGCGCAAGCCUGAUGCAGCCAUGCCGCUUGUAUGAAGAAGGCCUUCGGGUUGUAAAGUACUUUCAUCUGUGAGGCGUUACCCACAGAAGAAGCACCGGCUAACUCCGUGCCAGCAGCCGCGGUAAUAC